CUAGCACUUUCACAGGUCCUUCCCCAGGCAGUGGGGCCAGGAUUUGGUAGCUGGUGCUAAGAGAAAAUCCUUGAUUACAUCCUUGCCCUGAUACUGUGCCAGUGGCAGCUGUCAAUGAAUGAGACAGAA